rnacentral:tRNA from 1 species
GUUUGUGGCUAAGUGGUAGAGCACUUGCCUAGCAUGUCUGAGGCACUGGGUUCCAUUCUCAGCACUACA